GAUGAACGCUAGCGGCAGGCUUAACACAUGCAAGUCGAGGGGCAGCACGAGUAGCAAUACUUGGUGGCGACCGGCGCAAGGGUGCGUAACGCGUGAGCAACAUGCCCGUAUCAGGGGGAUAAGCCAGGGAAACUUGGUCUAAUACCGCAUAAUAAAACAUUAAGGCAUCUUAAUAUUUUUAAAAUUCCGAUGGAUACGGAUUGGCUCGCGUGACAUUAGCUAGAUGGUAAGGUAACGGCUUACCAUGGCUAUGAUGUCUAGGGGUUCUGAGAGGAAGGUCCCCCACACUGGAACUGAGACACGGUCCAGACUCCUACGGGAGGCAGCAGUGAGGAAUAUUGGACAAUGGAUGGAAAUCUGAUCCAGCCAUGCCGCGUGCAGGAAGACGGUCCUAUGGAUUGUAAACUGCUUUUUUAUGGGAGCAAUAAGGAUUACGAGUAAUCCGAUGAGAGUACCAUAAGAAUAAGCACCGGCUAACUCCGUG
rnacentral:rRNA from 1 species